rnacentral:rRNA from 1 species
CAGUCGCCGCGGUAAUACGCAGGUGGCAAGCGUUGUCCGGAAUUAUUGGGCGUAAAGGGCUCGCAGGCGGUUUCUUAAGUCUGAUGUGAAAGCCCCCGGCUCAACCGGGGAGGGUCAUUGGAAACUGGGAAACUUGAGUGCAGGAGAGGAGAGUGGAAUUCCACGUGUAGCGGUGAAAUGCGUAGAGAUGUGGAGGAACACCAGUGGCGAAGGCGACUCUCUGGUCUGUAACUGACACUGAGGAGCGAAAGCGUGGGGAGCGGACAGGAUUAGAGACCCCCGUAGUCCCUGUCUCUUAUAC